rnacentral:rRNA from 1 species
GACAGAGGGUGCAAACGUUGUUCGGAAUUACUGGGCGUAAAGCGCGUGUAGGCGGCUCGGAAAGUCGGAUGUGAAAGCCCUGGGCUUAACCUAGGAAGUGCAUUCGAAACUCCCGAGCUUGAGUUCUGGAGAGGAAGGCGGAAUUCUCGGUGUAGAGGUGAAAUGCGUAGAUAUCGAGAGGAACACCUGCGGCGAAGGCGGGUUGCUGGGCUGACACUGACGCUGAGGCGCGAAAGCUAGGGGAGCGAACGGG